rnacentral:sRNA from 1 species
UUGCAUCGUAGUGACCUGCGGAGGUCAUUAUUGAAAGUGAGUCUUGGUUGUAUAGCUGCUGGCCUUUUAAUGGAGGUUUGUGCACGUACUCUGGGGCGUAACUCUUCAUCCACCUGUGCACUUUUUGUAGAAGUUCUUUGAUGUUGGCUUAUAGGUCUUCGACCUUGUAGUUGAUUCAAAAGGCUUCUAUGUUUUACAAACUAGUUAAGCAUGUUUAGAAUGUUUUUUAUUGGGACUUCGUUGACCCUUUAAAGUUAUACAACUUUCAGCAACGGAUCUCUUGGCUCUCCCAUCGAUGAAGAACGCAGCGAAAUGCGAUAAGUAAUGUGAAUUGCAGAAUUCAGUGAAUCAUCGAAUCUUUGAACGCACCUUGCGCCCUCUGGUAUUCCGGAGGGCAUGCCUGUUUGAGUGUCAUUAAAUUCUCAACUUCAAUAGUUUUUAUACGACUUAUUGAAGCUUGGAUUUGGAGGUUUGCUGGCGUCUUAGAUGUUCGGCUCCUCUUAAAUGCAUUAGUUGGACCCGUUUGUUGGACCAUCCUUGGUGUGAUAAUUAUCUACGCUUUGGUUAGUUCAAUAAUGCUCUAUAUGAGAAUCAGACAAUGUUCUGGAUUGGGUUUUGCAUUAGAUUGCUUUACCUGCUUGUUCAGACGCCUUUAUUGGUGUUCUGGUUUGGGUGGUUGCAUUCAUUUGCUCCGCUUUGACUCAUUAGAGUGAGGGAUAUCUGCUCUCUAACCGUCUGUGUAUAUGGACAAUACUUUGACUCUUUGACCUCAAAUCAGGUAGGACUACCCGCUGAACUUAAGC